GCCAGCACCAGAUCUGCCUCAUCAGAGUCUUUCCAUUUCAUGAGGAACAUAAGCUCUCCGCUGCUAUCCGUAGCCCCAAUUAUCCUCUCAGGAUCAAGACCCCUCGCAAACCCUCUCGGUUUAUCAACUUCACUGCCGCUCGGCCGCGCCGCUCCCCCGUCUCCUCCCGGCUCUCGCCCUGCGCGCUCUGAGCGGCGGCGGCAGCGGCGGCAUCCGAGGGGC
rnacentral:lncRNA from 1 species